GGCGGGUACGGCAAGGGCUGUAAGCGACGG
rnacentral:ribozyme from 1 species